GUGACCGAUGGGCAACGGCUGCUCGCCAGGACGUGGCCCUGGUUCCCUCGCGGUGCAGCGGGUUCGACUCCCGCCGGUCGCC
rnacentral:tRNA from 1 species